rnacentral:rRNA from 1 species
GAUGAACGCUGGCGGCGUGCCUAACACAUGCAAGUCGAGCGAACGGACGAGAAGCAUGCGCCUCUGAGGGUAGCGGCGGACGGGUGAGUAACACGUGGAUAACCUACCUAUAAGACAGGGAUAAUAUCGGGAAACCGGCGCUAAGACCGGAAAAUAUAUUGAACCGCAUGGUUCAAGAGUGAAAGUCGGUAUUGCUGUCGGUUAUAGAUGGACCCGCGCUGCAUUAGCUAGUUGGUAAGGUAACGGAUUAGCAACGCGACGAUGCAUAGCCGACCUCAGAGCGUCGUCAGCCACACUGGAACUGAGACACGGUCCCGACUCCUGCGGGAGGCCACAGUACGGAAUCUUCCGCAAUGGGCCAAAGCCUGACGGAGCACCACCGCGUGAGUCAUGAAGGUCUUCGGCUCGUUAAGCUCUGUUAUUCGUGGAGAACAAAUGUGUUAGUACCUGUGCCCAUCUUGACGGUACCUGGUCAGAAAGCCACGGCUAACUUCGUG